rnacentral:misc_RNA from 1 species
AAGUCGUAACAAGGUUUCCGUAGGUGAACCUGCGGAAGGAUCAUUAUUGAAUAAACUUGGUGGGUUGUCGCUGGCUUCUCGGAGCAUGUGCACGCCUGUCAUCUUUAUCCAUCCACCUGUGCACCUUUUGUAGUCUUGGGAAAUGAAAGCAGCUGAGCCUCGACAGGCUUUCUGGCCUGUCGGAUAUAGGAAUUGCCUACUGAAAGCAUGGCUCUCCUCGUAGUCUGUGAUCAUUUCUUGGGCUAUGUUCAUCUCAUAUACCAUAUAGUAUGUUGCAGAAUGUAUCAGUGGGCCUCCGUGCCUAUAAUUAUCAAUACAACUUUCAGCAACGGAUCUCUUGGCUCUC